GCGCUAAUAGCUCAGUUGGGAGAGCGUCAGACUGAAGCCAAGCAUAACUCGGGGUAAUCUGAAGGUCACCCGUUCAAUCCGGGUUUGGCGCA